UACAGAGGUCCCAAGCGUUGUUCGGAUUCAUUGGGCGUAAAGGGUGCGUAGGCGGCGCGGUAAGUCGGGUGUGAAAUCUCGGAGCUUAACUCCGAAACUGCAUUCGAUACUGCCGUGCUUGAGGACUGGAGAGGAGACUGGAAUUUACGGUGUAGCGGUGAAAUGCGUAGAUAUCGUAAGGAAGACCAGUGGCGAAGGCGGGUCUCUGGACAGUUCCUGACACUGAGGCACGAAGGCCAGGGGAGCAAACGGG
rnacentral:rRNA from 1 species